rnacentral:rRNA from 1 species
AGUGAACGCUGGCGGUAUGCCUAACACAUGCAAGUCGAACGGCAGCACAGUAAGAGCUUGCUCUUACGGGUGGCGAGUGGCGGACGGGUGAGGAAUACAUCGGAAUCUACUUUUUCGUGGGGGAUAACGUAGGGAAACUUACGCUAAUACCGCAUACGACCUACGGGUGAAAGCAGGGGAUCUUCGGACCUUUCGCGAUUGAAUGAGCCGAUGUCGGAUUAGCUAGUUGGCGGGGUAAAGGCCCACCAAGGCGACGAUCCGUAGCUGGUCUGAGAGGAUGAUCAGCGACACUGGAACUGAGACACGGUCCAGACUCCUACGGGAGGCAGCAGUGGGGAAUAUUGGACAAUGGGCGCAAGCCUGAUCCAGCCAUACCGCGUGGGUGAAGAAGGCCUUCGGGUUGUAAAGCCCUUUUGUUGGGAAAGAAAAGCAGCAGGUUAAUACCCCGCUGUUCUGACGGUACCCAAAGAAUAAGCACCGGCUAACUUCGUG